GUGGGGAAUUUUGGACAAUGGGCGCAAGCCUGAUCCAGCAAUGCCGCGUGCAGGAAGAAGGCCUUCGGGUUGUAAACUGCUUUUGUACGGAACGAAACGGUCCGGGUUAAUACCCUGGGCUAAUGACGGUACCGUAAGAAUAAGCACCGGCUAACUAUGUGCCAGCAGCCGCGGUAAUACGUAGGGUGCAAGCGUUAAUCGGAAUUACUGGGCGUAAAGCGUGCGCAGGCGGUUUUGUAAGACAGGCGUGAAAUCCCCGGGCUCAACCUGGGAAUUGCGCUUGUGACUGCAAGGCUGGAGUGCGGCAGAGGGGGAUGGAAUUCCACGUGUAGCAGUGAAAUGCGUAGAUAUGCGGAGGAACACCGAUGGCGAAGGCAAUCCCCUGGGCCUGCACUGACGCUCAUGCACGAAAGCGUGGGGAGCAAACAGGAUUAGAAACCCCGGUAGUCC
rnacentral:rRNA from 1 species